ensembl:lncRNA
UACCAAGACACUGUGUCUGGUUAUUAACGUACCAAGACACUGUGUCUGGUUAUUAACGUACCAAGACACUGUGUCUGGUUAUUAACGUACCAAGACACUGUGUCUGGUUAUUAAGGUACCAAGACACUGUGUCUGGUUAUUAAGGUACCAAGACACAGUGCUGAUUGCACAAAGGGCAUCGGAUUCCAUUUUUGUUUCAUAUGGAAUUGACAAUAUACAACACUUUCUUGUCACUCAUGGGCUCUCAGUGGUUCCUCUGGCUGAUUUAAAGAGGCGGAGGCGUGGAAAUGCAACAGUAUUUACAGUAAGAUAUGGUUGUUGGUGUCAAACCCAUUGCCUGACUGGUUAAUUUGAUUUAAUGCUAGUAUUGUCUAACCUAGGUGGGUCAUAAUUCAUAUGGUGUGGUAGAUUGACUAUCGUUCAUAGAACCAGGGUUUAAUAGGUAACGCUUGGGUGUGUUUAAGUUGUAAAGUCUUUUUGUAAUUUCUAACAUAGACCGUAACGGGGAGACACAGGGAACAGACAACUGUUCAGGGCGCUGGAGUGCAUUUUAAUAAAGGGGAUACAGGAACAUUAACUUUAAGUUUAAAGAGUGUACGGAAUAUACGGUCUGUGGAUUCAGUGUCAAACCAUGAAUACAUUUUUCUUGGAGACAGGA